UGGGGAAUAUUGGACAAUGGGCGAAAGCCUGAUCCAGCCAUGCCGCGUGUGUGAAGAAGGCCUUUUGGUUGUAAAGCACUUUAAGUGGGGAGGAAAAGCUUAUGGUUAAUACCCAUAAGCCCUGACGUUACCCACAGAAUAAGCACCGGCUAACUCUGUGCCAGCAGCCGCGGUAAUACAGAGGGUGCAAGCGUUAAUCGGAAUUACUGGGCGUAAAGCGCGCGUAGGUGGUUAUUUAAGUCAGAUGUGAAAGCCCCGGGCUUAACCUGGGAACUGCAUCUGAUACUGGAUAACUAGAGUAGGUGAGAGGGGAGUAGAAUUCCAGGUGUAGCGGUGAAAUGCGUAGAGAUCUGGAGGAAUACCGAUGGCGAAGGCAGCCCCCUGGCAUCAUACUGACACUGAGGUGCGAAAGCGUGGGUAGCAAACAGGAUUAGAUACCCUGGUAGUCCACGCCGUAAACGAUGUCUACCAGUCGUUGGGUCUUUUAAAGACUUAGUGACGCAGUUAACGCAAUAAGUAGACCGCCUGGGGAGUACGGCCGCAAGGUUA
rnacentral:rRNA from 1 species